rnacentral:rRNA from 1 species
UAGGGAAUCUUCGGCAAUGGACGAAAGUCUGACCGAGCAACGCCGCGUGAGUGAAGAGGGUUUUCGGAUCGUAAAACUCUGUUGGUAGAGAAGAACGUUGGUGAGAGUGGAAAGCUCAUCAAGUGACGGUAACUACCCAGAAAGGGACGGCUAACUACGUGCCAC